GGCAAAGGAUUCCACUUUAGUCCACACUUUCUCUUGGUUUCAAUUGCAUAAAUUUUCUCACUUCCAAAUUUUCAUCUUCAGUUCCCACUUUCCCUCUAUCCUUUCUCAUCGAUCGGUUGUUUUUGGGUGCUGCCAUAUGCGGAUACAAUAAAAGGGUUAGCGACGGUGGUAGCCAAUCAAAGAGAGCAGUGCCGAGUUCCACACUAUUCUGGUCCAUUGCCGCUGCAAGACCCCUGUUUGAUGGUUUGGCGGCAGGACAGCUAAUGGUCAGAAGAGUUUUGGGAAAAUUUUGGACAUCGGAACCGUAUUAUAUUACAUGGGAUUGAAUCUCCCCCUUCUUCUUGGUUCAAGGGAAACUGAAACAAAAUAGGAAACAGUGUUGCAAGAUAUCUAGGACUGGAUAUCUCAACGGGAUGGAAUAAGUGAAAGGAAGCAGGGAAGAUUAGCAUUAAUCAUGGAAUUCCAUAUGGAUGGUUCUAGUUAAACAUGGGGUGCAUCGGACACAGUCUCGCUUUUGGUCUUAGUU